UGCGGUAAUGAUGGCAAGAAGGAUACACCUGUUCCCAUGUCGAACACAGAAGUUAAGUUUCUUAGCGCCGAUGGUAGUUGGGGGUUUCCCCCUGUGAGAGUAGGACAUAGCCGUGC
rnacentral:rRNA from 2 species